GUUCAAUUGGUAUAUUGCAAUUACUCUCCAAUAUUAACACUAGCUAAACUUAUUAUCUUCCUGUAUAACCAAUCUUUUAUGUAUUACAAAGCAAAAGAAUUAAAAAGGAUGAUUGAUAUGAUGAGCACAGGGGGAAAAAAGAGAAGAAGUUACAGAACUAUCAUACAAGAGGAAGAGAAUGAAUUACGUCUUACCACCCCUACCAAGGAGCUUACAAUUAGACCUCACUGCACCUAUUGAUUUAGAUGAAGACGAUGAUAUGGUAGAUCGGUCAAACUCUUGUUUAUCCUCAGUAAAUGCCUUGCCUAGAACUACCUGGAGUUCCAUGUAUCUUUUUCUCUUUUGGAGUCUUUCCUCUGGAGUGUCAUUCCCUAAAUUGGCAAGCUGCGAUAAGUCAUCAGCAUCCAUGAUCCUGUUUAGUACCUCUGAGCACCGAGGGAAAAACUGUUUUCCAAGUUCCACAGUUCUAGAGAGUGCUCUCGUCCUAUUCAGAUGCUCCUCUUGCAUUCUAAAAGGUGCCUCAUUAAAGCCCCCUGUUGUCCUCUGAGCACCAGCCAAAUUCUUUGCCAUGAUGUCAUUUAAUGGAAAUUCAUUAGUGCCAUCCACUUGAGCAAUAUCCAUCAUAACUUUUGCUUCCACAGGAAAUAGAAGUUUUGCCAGUCCAACUCUAUUUUCUAGGUACAACAAUUUCAUUCGCAGGUCAUCACCAGCUACAACAAGAGAAAUAGCCUCUCCAAGCAAUGGAUCUCUUCUUUCUGCUUGUUCCAAUAUCUCUAUGCAUAAUCGCUCCUUGGGAGAAGCUUUUCCUUCCUCAGUAGAGCUAUGGUAAUCUGAAGCCCUGGUAAGUCUCUUUGAUAUUUGAAGUGCUUUUCUACCAUCUGAAGUAAGAUCUGAUGGACGAGCUCCCUUAGUCAAGAGAGAUACAAUAAUCUUAGGCUCUUUACGCAUUGCAGCAACAUGCAGUACAGUGUAGCCUCUUGAAUUUCUAAGGUUAACAUCAGCAAUUCCAAGAUUAAGAAGCUCUGUGGCAGUCUUUGCGUCACAGUAUGCAACAGCAUAAUGGAGUGCAUGGGCAUCAUCUAAAUUGGUAUGCGCCUCAUUUAGUAGCAUUCUAACUAAUUCUACAUCAUCUGAGUCCAAAGCUCGGUGUAUUCUCUUUUUGUGUUUAUCAGCAUAACCUGGGCUCUCGGGUGUCUCCAGACCAUACUCUAAGCGAGAAUCUGUUAUUUGCUUUACAAUGUGUUGGGGUAAGGCCUUGUCAAGAGUUACAAUAUCAACAUCAGAUUCUACAAUGAUCUUGAUGCAUCUUGCAAACAAUCUCUCACAGGCUUUAUCACACAUAUUUGCAACGGAUAGAACCACCAAGAUGUCAUCAAUUGC
rnacentral:misc_RNA from 1 species